rnacentral:rRNA from 1 species
CCUACGGGUGGCUGCAGUGGGGAAUAUUGGACAAUGGGCGAAAGCCUGAUCCAGCCAUGCCGCGUGUGUGAAGAAGGCCUUCGGGUUGUAAAGCACUUUCAGUGGGGAAGAAAGCCUUGGGGCUAAUACCCUCGAGGAAGGACAUCACCCACAGAAGAAGCACCGGCUAACUCCGUGCCAGCAGCCGCGGUAAUACGGAGGGUGCGAGCGUUAAUCGGAAUUACUGGGCGUAAAGCGCGCGUAGGCGGUCUGAUAAGCCGGUUGUGAAAGCCCCGGGCUCAACCUGGGAACGGCAUCCGGAACUGUCAGGCUAGAGUGCAGGAGAGGAAGGUAGAAUUCCCGGUGUAGCGGUGAAAUGCGUAGAGAUCGGGAGGAAUACCAGUGGCGAAGGCGGCCUUCUGGACUGACACUGACGCUGAGGGGCGAAAGCGUGGGUAGCAAACAGGAUUAGAUACCCCUGUAGUC